AUGAAGGGGCUAGCGGACGAGCUCGCUGCUGCAGGGAAACCCCUCGAUGAAGAUGAUGUCGCGUCGCACAUCUUGGAGGGUCUCAUGCACGAGCCCGACUACAACGGGUUCGUCACCGCCAUCUCCGCACGCGCUGUCACCAAUCAACCGAUCAGCCUCAGCGAACUCUUCUCGUUGUUGCUCUCUGUGGAGUCCCGGAUCGCCGCCCAGCACGCCGCCUACACUGCUCACCACUCCGCCAACCUCGCUGCGAAAGGUGGUCGUGGUGGCUACGGC
rnacentral:rRNA from 1 species